CUCCAAUUUGCGCUGGGCCUCACUCUGGCAAUGGAGGAGGCCCAGGACAGAAAGGUCAGAUUGGGAACGGGAGGGGAAGUUGAAGUGCUGAGCAACCGGGAGAUCAGGUUGGUAAGUACGAACUAAGCGGAGGUGUUAGACGAAGCGAUCGCUGAGCUGGAAUCCAUAAGGAAUGGAGGCGCAGGCU